rnacentral:rRNA from 1 species
AUACGGAGGGGGCUAGCGUUGUUCGGAAUUACUGGGCGUAAAGCGCGCGUAGGCGGAUUGAUCAGUCAGGGGUGAAAUCCCGAGGCUUAACCUCGGAACUGCCUUUGAUACUGUCAAUCUUGAGUUCGAGAGAGGUGAGUGGAAUUCCUAGUGUAGAGGUGAAAUUCGUAGAUAUUAGGAAGAACACCAGUGGCGAAGGCGGCUCACUGGCUCGAUACUGACGCUGAGGUGCGAAAGCGUGGGGAGCAAACAGGAGUAGAUACCCUAGUAGUCC